rnacentral:ncRNA from 1 species
GUAGUUUGGCAGAACAGGUGGGUGUCUGAGGGUAAGGGGAGGGAACUGUACAAGUUCUUUCCCGAUGUUGCGGACAGGAAGAAGCAACGUGGAUGGAGCCGGACUAUCAGACCUCGCAGAUCCUCACGGGUCAUGGGAUCUUUAAUAAGCGGUUGGCGGAUAUGCGACUGAGGGAGGGGCAUGCUUGCGACUGCGGGGCGGUUGAGGAGGAUAGGGACCAUGUCCUGUGGGAGUGUCCUCUCUAUGACGAAAUCCGGGGCAGGAUGCUCGAUGGAAUCUCGCGGUCUGAGGUGGGCCCAGUUUACCACGCGGACCUGGUCAGGGACGAGAAAAAUUUUCGGCUCUUGCGCGAGUUCGCGCAUACAUGGCACACGGCGCGCACUGCGCGCGAAUCACGAGGACUGCCUGGCGACGAAGAAUGUGGGUGAUGUUAGCAGCCCCAGAACGGGGAGAAUGCUAGUGGAGUGAAGGGGACGGUGUUAGUUUGUAGAACCGAUCGGUACCUUGGUGCCGUGAAGUUCAUGCUUCGGUCCUAAUAACCGCAAGGUUGGUGGGACCAUGGGAGGUGGUGGGAAAUGUCCCUAUCUACUAUCUAGCGAAACCACAGCCAAGGGAACGGGCUUGGGAGAAUCAGCGGGGAAAGAAGACCCUGUUGAGCUUGACUCUAGUCUGGCAUUGUAAGGAGACAUGAGAGGGGUACCGA